GUGAGUAACGCGUGGGUAACCUGCCCUAUGCAGGGGGAUAACACAGCGAAAGCUGUGCUAAAACCGCAUAAAGCUUAAGAAUCGCAUGAUUUUUGAGUCAAAGAUUUAUCGGCAUAGGAUGGGCCCGCGUCUGAUUAGCUAGUUGGUGUGGUAAAGGCUCACCAAGGCGACGAUCAGUAGCCGACCUGAGAGGGUGAUCGGCCACACUGGAACUGAGACACGGUCCAGACUCCUACGGGAGGCAGCAGUGGGGAAUAUUGCACAAUGGGGGAAACCCUGAUGCAGCAACGCCGCGUGUGUGAAGAAGGCCUUCGGGUCGUAAAGCUCUGUCCUAAGGGAAGAAUAAAUGACGGUACCUUAGGAGGAAGCCCCGGCUAACUACGUGCCAGCAGCCGCGGUAAUACGUAGGGGGCAAGCGUUAUCCGGAAUCAUUGGGCGUAAAGGGUGCGUAGGCGGUCCAUAAAGUCAGGGGUGAAAGGCUACGGCUCAACCGUAGUAAGCCCUUGAAACUUAGUGACUUGAGUACAGGAGAGGUAAGUGGAAUUCCUAGUGUAGCGGUGAAAUGCGUAGAUAUUAGGAGGAACACCAGUGGCGAAGGCGACUUACUGGACUGUAACUGACGCUGAGGCACGAAAGCGUGGGGAGCGAACAGGAUUAGAUACCCU
rnacentral:rRNA from 1 species